CGGACGGGUGAGUAAUGUCUGGGAAACUGCCCGAUGGAGGGGGAUAACUACUGGAAACGGUAGCUAAUACCGCAUAACGUCGCAAGACCAAAGAGGGGGACCUUAGGGCCUCUUGCCAUCGGAUGUGCCCAGAUGGGAUUAGCUAGUAGGUGGGGUAACGGCUCACCUAGGCGACGAUCCCUAGCUGGUCUGAGAGGAUGACCAGCCACACUGGAACUGAGACGCGGUCCAG
rnacentral:rRNA from 1 species